GUCCACGCAGUAAACGAUGGACGCUAGCUUUCCGGGGGGAACGACCCCUGGGAGGCACAGCGAAAGCGUUAAGCGUCCCACCUGGGGAGUACGCCGGCAACGGUGAAACUCAAAGGAAUUGACGGGGGCCCGCACAAGCGGAGGAACAUGUGGUUUAAUUCGAUGAUACGCGAGGAACCUUACCCGGGCUCAAACGGCGGAGGAAAGUUUUUGAAAGGAGGCUGCCCUACGGGGCCUCCGCCGAGGUGCUGCAUGGUUGUCGU
rnacentral:rRNA from 1 species